rnacentral:rRNA from 1 species
AUAAUAGAAUGCAGUCGAACGAUGACCCCGUGCUUGCACGGGUGAUUAGUGGCGAACGGGUGAGUAACACGUGAGUAACCUGCCCCCGACUUUGGGAUAAGCCCGGGAAACUGGGUCUAAUACCGGAUAUGACUUCUUACCGCAUGGUGGGUUGUUGAAAGAUUUAUCGGUGGGGGAUGGACUCGCGGCCUAUCAGCUUGUUGGUGAGGUAAUGGCUCACCAAGGCGACGACGGGUAGCCGGCCUGAGAGGGUGACCGGCCACACUGGGACUGAGACACGGCCCAGACUCCUACGGGAGGCAGCAGUGGGGAAUAUUGCACAAUGGGCGAAAGCCUGAUGCAGCGACGCCGCGUGAGGGAUGACGGCCUUCGGGUUGUAAACCUCUUUCAGUAGGGAAGAAGCGAAAGUGACGGUACCUGCAGAAGAAGCGCCGGCUAACUACGUGCCAGCAGCCGCGGUAAUACGUAGGGCGCAAGCGUUAUCCGGAUUUAUUGGGCGUAAAGAGCUCGUAGGCGGUUUGUCGCGUCUGCCGUGAAAGUCCGAGGCUCAACCUCGGAUCUGCGGUGGGUACGGGCAGACUAGAGUGAUGUAGGGGAGACUGGAAUUCCUGGUGUAGCGGUGAAAUGCGCAGAUAUCAGGAGGAACACCGAUGGCGAAGGCAGGUCUCUGGGCAUUUACUGACGCUGAGGAGCGAAAGCAUGGGGAGCGAACAGGAUUAGAUACCCUGGUAGUCCAUGCCGUAAACGUUGGGCACUAGGUGUGGGGGACAUUCCACGUUUUCCGCGCCGUAGCUAACGCAUUAAGUGCCCCGCCUGGGGAGUACGGCCGCAAGGCUAAAACUCAAAGGAAUUGACGGGGGCCCGCACAAGCGGCGGAGCAUGCGGAUUAAUUCGAUGCAACGCGAAGAACCUUACCAAGGCUUGACAUGUGCCAGACCGCCUCAGAAGAUGGGGUUUCCCUUCGGGGCUGGUUCACAGGUGGUGCAUGGUUGUCGUCAGCUCGUGUCGUGAGAUGUUGGGUUAAGUCCCGCAACGAGCGCAACCCUUCGUUCCAUGUUGCCAGCACGUAGUGGUGGGGACUCAUGGGAGACUGCCGGGGUCAACUCGGAGGAAGGUGGGGAUGACGUCAAAUCAUCAUGCCCCUUAUGUCUUGGGCUUCACGCAUGCUACAAUGGCCGGUACAAUGGGUUGCGAUACUGUGAGGUGGAGCUAAUCCCUAAAAGCCGGUCUCAGUUCGGAUUGGGGUCUGCAACUCGACCCCAUGAAGUCGGAGUCGCUAGUAAUCGCAGAUCAGCAACGCUGCGGUGAAUACGUUCCCGGGCCUUGUACACACCGCCCGUCAAGUCACGAAAGUUGGUAACACCCGAAGCCGAUGGCUAGAGUUCCUUCUGGGUGGGAGUCGUUCGGUCAGUGAUGUAGUGAUCUAUGAUUACAGUGCA